AUGGCUAAAACAACUGUGGUCC
rnacentral:miRNA from 1 species